AUGCAUGCAAGUCGAACGAGGACCCUUUGAUUGGUAACUUUCGAAGGACUCCUAGUGGCGAACGGGUGAGUAACACGUGAGCAACCUGCCCCGAAGACCGGGAUAACCCAUGGAAACGUGGAUUAAUACCGGAUACCCUCUAGGGACCGAAUGGCCCCAUGAGGAAAGGCUCCGGCGCUUCGGGAUGGGCUCGCGGCCUAUCAGCUUGUUGGUGAGGUAACGGCUCACCAAGGCUCUGACGGGUAGCUGGUCUGAGAGGACGAUCAGCCACACUGGGACUGAGACACGGCCCAGACUCCUACGGGAGGCAGCAGCAGGGAAUAUUGCACAAUGGGCGCAAGCCUGAUGCAGCGACGCCGCGUGAGGGAUGAAGGCUUUCGAGUUGUAAACCUCUUUCAGUGGGGAAGAAGCGCAAGUGACGGUACCCACACAAGAAGGCCCGGCCAACUACGUGCCAGCAGCCGCGGUAAUACGUAGGGGCCAAGCGUUAUCCGGAUUUAUUGGGCGUAAAGAGCUCGUAGGCGGCUUGGCAAGUCGGUCGUGAAAGUCCGAGGCUCAACCUCGGAAUGCCGGUCGAAACUGCCAUGGCUAGGGUUCGGUAGAGGAGAGUGGAAUUCUCGGUGUAGCGGUGAAAUGCGCAGAUAUCGA
rnacentral:rRNA from 1 species